rnacentral:rRNA from 1 species
CGCCUUGCCAGCCCGCUCAGAAACUUAAAGGAAGUUGACGGGGGCCCGCACAAGCGGUGGAGUAUGUGGUUAAUUCGAUGCAACGCGAGAACCUUACCUGGUCUUGACAUCCCGGAGACCCUUAGGAAACUAGGGGGUGCUUCCAUCUGGAAGAAUCUGGAGACAGGUGCUGCAUGGCUGUCGUCAGCUCGUGUCGUGAGAUGUUGGGUUAAGUCCCGCAACGAGCGCAACCCUUGCCUUUAGUUGCCAGCAGUUCGGCUGGGCACUCUAAAGGGACUGCCGGUGUUAAACCGGAGGAAGGUGGGGAUGACGUCAAGUCCUCAUGGCCUUUAUGACCAGGGCUACACACGUACUACAAUGGCCGAUACAAAGGGCAGCGACACUGCGAGGUGAAGCCAAUCCCGUAAAAUCGGUCUCAGUCCGGAUUGGAGUCUGCAACUCGACUCCAUGAAGUUGGAAUCGCUAGUAAUCGUGGAUCAGCAUGCCACGGUGAAUACGUUCCCGGGCCUU